CAGGAUGAACGCUAGCGGCAGGCUAACACAUGCAAGUCGAGGGGCAUCGGGAGUAGCAAUACUUGCCGGCGACCGGCGCAAGGGUGCGUAACGCGUGAGCAACAUGCCCGUAUCAGGGGGGAUAAUCCAUGGAAACGUGGUCUAAUACCCCAUAGUAAUUAUGUAAGGCAUCUUAUAUAAUUUAAAGCUUUGGUGGAUACGGAUUGGCUCGCGUGACAUUAGCUAGAUGGUAAGGUAACGGCUUACCAUGGCUACGAUGUCUAGGGGUUCUGAGAGGAAGGUCCCCCCACACUGGAACUGAGACACGGUCCAGACUCCUACGGGAGGCAGCAGUGAGGAAUAUUGGACAAUGGAUGGAAAUCUGAUCCAGCCAUGCCGCGUGCAAGGAAGACGGCCCUAUGGGUUGUAAACUGCUUUUGUAUGGGAGCAAUAAGGGCUACGCGUAGUCCGAUGAGAGUACCAUACGAAUAAGCACCGGCUAACUCCGUGCCAGCCGCCGC
rnacentral:rRNA from 1 species